AGAACAUUCUGCUGCUCUUAAAGACCCUCAUCCCUCCCGUGGGAGCCCCCUUUGGACACUCUAUGACCCUGGACCCUCGGGGGACCUGAACUUGAUGCGAUGGGAGGCUGUGCAGGCUCGCGGCGGCGCUUUUCGGAUUCCGAGGGGGAGGAGACCGUCCCGGAGCCCCGGCUCCCUCUGUUGGACCAUCAGGGCGCGCAUUGGAAGAACGCGGUGGGCUUCUGGCUGCUGGGCCUUUGCAACAACUUCUCUUAUGUGGUGAUGCUGAGUGCUGCCCACGACAUCCUUAGCCACAAGAGGACAUCGGGAAACCAGAGCCAUGUGGACCCAGGCCCAACGCCGAUGCCCCACAACAGCUCAUCACGAUUUGACUGCAACUCUGUCUCUACGGCUGUGCGUACUCAUCUCACCUGGUCCUUGCCUGACCCAGGGCCCCUGGGUCUAUAGACCCCACUCCCAGCCCUUCACUACCCAGCUGGGACUGUCAUGAUUAAAACAGUUGAGACCUGGGCUGGGCGCACUGGCUCACACUUGUAAUCCCAGCACUUUGGGAGACCAAGGUGGGAGGAUCACUUGAGCCUAGGAGUUUGAGACCAGCCUGGGCAGUAUAGUGAGACCCCCAUCUUAAGGAAAAAAAUUAAAAAAUAUAUAUAUAUAUAAUAAUUGAGACCUUAAUAUAAUUUCUGAGGCUGAGGCGGAUGGAUCACUUGAGACCAGGAGUUCAAGACCAGCCUGGCCAACAUGGUGAAACCCCAUCUGUACUAAAAAUACAAAAAUUAGCCAGGCAUGGUGGUGCACGCCUGUAAUCCCAGCUACUCGGGAGGCUGAGGCAGGAGAAUCACUUGAACCCAGGAGGUGGAGGUUGUAGUGAGCCAAGAUCGAGCCACUACACUCCAGCCUGGGUGGCAGAAUGAGACUCACUCUCAAAAUAUAUAUAUAUAUGUAGUUUCUGAGUCCUUUCUGUCUGUAGCAUAUAUUAGCUCACUUAAGCCACACAGCAGUCCUGUGAGCUAGGCGCUAUGAUAUUCCCAUUUUCCAGAUGAGGAAACUGAAGCUCAGAGAGUAUAAACUCUUGACACACAACUAAGGAGUGGCAGAGCUGAGACUUGAACCCAGGCGUGCCUGACUCCAGAGCCUGUGUUUGUAGCAGGCCUGUUUGGCCAGCUCCUGCCUCUCCUUGGCCACGUGGUUGGGAGGGUUGUCCCCUGGAAGCUCUGCGGUCUCACUCUAUUCUCCUGUCCCAGGCUGUGCUCCUGGCGGACAUCCUCCCCACACUCGUCAUCAAAUUGUUGGCUCCUCUUGGCCUUCACCUGCUGCCCUACAGGUCUGGGUGAGGGUAGUGGGAGGCAGGGUGGGCAGGAGCUGAGAAAGGGGAGGCCGGGAUGGCUGAGAUGCUGAGAGUAGAGACCGACCUUCCCCCUCCCUUCCCUUCUCACCCCCUCAGCCCCCGGGUUCUCGUCAGUGGGAUUUGUGCUGCUGGAAGCUUCGUCCUGGUUGCCUUUUCUCAUUCUGUGGGGACCAGCCUGUGUGGUGUGGUCUUCGCUAGCAUCUCAUCAGGCCUUGGGGAGGUCACCUUCCUCUCCCUCACUGCCUUCUACCCCAGGGCCGUGAUCUCCUGGUGGUCCUCAGGGACUGGGGGAGCUGGGCUGCUGGGGGCCCUGUCCUACCUGGGCCUCACCCAGGCCGGCCUCUCCCCUCAGCAGACCCUGCUGUCCAUGCUGGGUAUCCCUGCCCUGCUGCUGGCCAGCUAUUUCUUGUUGCUCACAUCUCCUGAGGCCCAGGACCCUGGAGGGGAAGAAGAGGCAGAGAGCGCAGCCCGGCAGCCCCUCAUAAGAACCGAGGCCCCGGAGUCGAAGCCAGGCUCCAGCUCCAGCCUCUCCCUUCGGGAAAGGUGGACAGUGUUCAAGGUUCGGAUGAUGGCUGGGGUAUGUCCCUGUGGGGCUUGCUCACCUCCAGGCCCCCCGCUUAUAUCUUCUGCCUUUUCCAGGGUCUGCUGUGGUACAUUGUUCCCUUGGUCGUAGUUUACUUUGCCGAGUAUUUCAUUAACCAGGGACUUGUAAGUGAGGGGUGCUAGGAGGGGUGUGGAGGUGGCGAUUGGGGCUGGGACCCACACGGCCCCGUCCAUCUCCCCUGUCUGGUAUUUGUUGCAGUUUGAACUCCUCUUUUUCCGGAACACUUCCCUGAGUCACGCUCAGCAAUACCGCUGGUAAGAGGAGCGAGGGCAGUGGGCUGGGAGGGCGCCGUGGUGAUGCAGCUGCCCUGCCCAGUAGGCACCGGGGGGAGCGGGAUGGUCCCUGGAGGAGCCUCCUCUCCUACCCUCAACCCUAACCUCAGGUACCAGAUGCUGUACCAGGCUGGCGUCUUUGCCUCCCGCUCUUCUCUCCGCUGCUGUCGCAUCCGUUUCACCUGGGCCCUGGCCCUGCUGCAGAUGGAGUCUCGCUCUGUUGCCCAGGCUGGAAUGUAGCGGUGCAAUCUUGGCUCACUGCAACCCCUGCCUCCCAGAUUCAAGCGAUUCUCAAGCCUCAGCCUUCCGAGUAGCUGGGAUUACAG
rnacentral:sRNA from 1 species